GCCGUGGGUGCGGGGGCUUUCGGCUCAUCAGAAGCCACCAGCCCUUGAGACAAAACCUCCCAGACGCUGUGGGUCAGACCCACAGAGCCUCAGUCCUACCUGGUCCUGGGAGGGCGGAGGGCGGUGUGGGCCUGGUCCCAGGACAGCGGAGCGCAGUGUGGGCCAGGCGCGGACUCCCCCGGGCGCCCUCAUGGUCUUAUCUCUGCCCGGCCGGCGGAAGGCGGCGGGAACCUUUGCCUGGUACAACCACUACCGCUCCACAGCCCAGGAAUUUGGCAUUGAAUAAUUUUUAACUUCUGCUCUGAGAGAGGAGCUGGCCUUGGAUUUAGUGUCCGUGCAUGCAGGAAUGCCGGGGCUCCAUUUUCAAGGGACGGUGAGAAGGACACGCUCGGUUCCGCACUCUCAGGCUCCUGCUCCUCACAAGGCAAGCGCCUCCAGGGAGCUGCAUUUGGGAAAAUAUCCACCAAGCACUAAAGAAACACAACCAUAAAGAACCAUAAAGCAUCCACGCGGAAAAGCUUAUUCAGAUCAAUAAAGCUGCAGCGGGCGGGGCACAGUGGCUCACGCCUGUCAUCCCAGCACUUUGGGAGGCCGAUGUGGGUGGAUCACGAGAUCAGGAGAUGGAGACCAGCCUGGCCAACAUGGUGAAACCCCGUCUCUACUAAAAUACAACAAAUUAGCUGGGCGUGAUGGCACGUGCCUGUAGUCCCAGCUACUCAGGAGGCUGAGGCAGAAGAAUUGCUUGAACCCGGGAGGCAGAGGUUGCA
rnacentral:lncRNA from 1 species